rnacentral:tRNA from 1 species
UUUGAUGUAGCUCAGUGGCAGGGCAUUUGACUGGCUCACUUAAGGCCCUGGGUUUGAUUCCCAGCGACAUAA